GACGAACGCUGGCGGCGUGCUUAACACAUGCAAGUCGAACGAAGAGCGCUGGACGCUUGCCUCUAUGAUUCUUAGUGGCGAACGGGUGAGUAACGCGUAAUCAACCUGCCCCUGAGAGGGGUACAACAGUUGGAAACGACUGCUAAUACCGCAUACGAUCUAAUCUCGGUAUCGCGGAGAGAUGUAAGGUGGUUGCUAUUGAUAAGCCAUAACUGAAGGAGGGGAUAUCGCUGGAUUAGCUAGUUGGUGGGGCAACCGGCAACUGAGGCGAUGCACAGUAGACGGUCUGAGAGGAUAAGCUGCCACGUUGGGACUGGAGCACGGCCCAGACUCCUGCGGGAGGCAGCAGUGGGGGAUCUUUCGCAAUGGAAGAAAGUCUGACGAUGCAACGCCGCGUGAGAGAUGACGGCCUUCGGGUUGCGAAGCUCUGUUAGUCGGGAGGAAAGGACUUCUUGCGAACAGUUGGAGGGAUUGACGGUACCGGAAUAGAAAGCCACGGCUAACUACGUG
rnacentral:rRNA from 1 species